rnacentral:rRNA from 1 species
UACAGAGGGUGCAAACGUUGUUCGGAUUUACUGGGCGUAAAGCGCGUGUAGGCUGCUUCGCAAGUCGGAUGUGAAAGCCCUGGGCUCAACCCAGGAAGUGCAUUCGAAACUGCAGAGCUGGAGUCCUGGAGAGGAAGGCGGAAUUCUCGGUGUAGAGGUGAAAUUCGUAGAUAUUCGCAGGAACACCAGUGGCGAAGGCGACUUACUGGUCCGAUACUGACGCUGAGGUGCGAAAGCGUGGGGAGCAAACAGG